AGCAGCCGCGGUAAUUCCAGCUCCAAUAGCGUAUAUUAAAGUUGUUGCAGUUAAAAAGCUCGUAGUUGAAUUUCGGGGUUAGUAGAUUGGUCAUGCCUCUGGUAUGUACUGGUCUCACUGAUUCCUCCUUCCUGAUGAACCUUAAUGCCAUUAAUUUGGUGUUUUGGGGAAUUUGGACUGUUACUUUGAAAAAAUUAGAGUGUUUAAAGCAAGCUAACGCUUGAAUACAUUAGCAUGGAAUAAUGAAAUAGGACGUUCGAUCCUAUUUUGUUGGUUUCUAGGAUUGACGUAAUGAUUAAUAGGGAUAGUUAGGGGCAUUAGUAUUCAAUUGUCAGAGGUGAAAUUCUUGGAUUUAUUGAAGACUAACUACUGCGAAAGCAUUUGCCAAGGAUGUUUUCAUUAAUCAAGAACGAAAGUUAGGGGAUCGAAGACGAUCAGAUACCGUCGUAGUCUUAACCAUAAACUAUGCCGACUAGGGAUCGGAUGAUGUUAAUUUUUUAAUGACUCA
rnacentral:rRNA from 1 species